UACGUAGGGCGCAAGCGUUGUCCGGAAUUAUUGGGCGUAAAGAGCUCGUAGGCGGUUUGUCGCGUCUGCUGUGAAAACCUAAGGCUCAACCUUGGGCUUGCAGUGGGUACGGGCAAACUGGAGUACUGCAGGGGAGACUGGAAUUCCUGGUGUAGCGGUGAAAUGCGCAGAUAUCAGGAGGAACACCGGUGGCGAAGGCGGGUCUCUGGGCAGUAACUGACGCUGAGGAGCGAAAGCGUGGGGAGCGAACAGG
rnacentral:rRNA from 1 species